GUAAAAUUUCCCAAUUUGCCCAUUAAUAGCUGCCGGAAUUUCGCCGGAAACUGCGAGGAGUCACCAGAAAUGGCGUCAAUAGUAUCGGAAACCGUUCCGAAGUUCACCGCGGAGGCCCUCAAAUCCGCAGCUAAACAAUCUGAACGUUGCCAUAUUGUUCCUAUCCGUCUUCGUAGAGCUAUCAAAAAGUAUCUCCGAGAGCAAGAGGAGCCACAUAUGAAGAGAAAAGUGUUGAGGUUAUCAGAAUCUUUCAGCCAAAUAAAGGAAGUGAAUUUGAUGCUUCCAACCUCCACAUCCAAGGAGCUUUUUGAAGAUCCUCUCAAGUCUGUUGAUUGUUCACAGCGGUGGAAAAUCAAAAGUGCCUAUGGUGACAUUGGCCUCAAGUAUAGGGAUGAUGAAACACUAGCCUAUGUGGCGUCCCGUAUGCCUGCUGUCUACUCGGCUCUUUAUAGAGUUCUUAGUGAGGUACGCAGAAGAUUGCCUGGUUUUUCACCUGCUAAGGUGUUGGAUUUUGGGGCAGGGACUGGUUCUGCGUUUUGGGCAGUUAGAGAAGUGUGGCCACGUUCAUUGAGUAGAAUUAAUUUGGUAGAGCCAUCACAGUCCAUGCAGCGUGCCGGACAGAGCCUUAUAAAAGGUCUUAAAAGUUUGCCACUCAUUCAAAGUUAUGGAAGUAUUCAAGCACUCUCUCAGGAUGUCAAAAAGAGUGACAGACAACAUGAUCUUGUGAUUGCUUCGUAUGUACUCGGAGAAAUUCCAUCUCUGAAGGACAGAAUCACGGUUGUACGCCAGCUUUGGGAACAGACAGGAGAUGUUCUGGUCCUGGUAGAACCAGGAACACCACAAGGAUCUAAUAUUAUAUCUCAAAUGCGAUCUCACAUUCUAUGGAUGGAGAAAAGGAGAAGCCGCAAACUAGAAGGUGUAUCUGGCAAAGACUCUAAAGCAUUGACGACACUAAAGAAUGGGGUAUAUAUAGUUGCUCCGUGUCCACAUGACGGACGUUGUCCUUUGGAUAACACUGGAAAAUAUUGUCAUUUUGUUCAACGCUUGCAAAGGACAAGUUCGCAACGUGCCUACAAGAGGUCGAAAGGAGAGCCUCUACG
rnacentral:misc_RNA from 1 species